rnacentral:lncRNA from 10 species
UGAUAUGGUUUGGAUUUUUGUCUCCGCCCAAAUCUCAUGUCAAAGUGUACUCCCCAUUGUUGGAGGAGGGGCCUGGUGAGAGGUAACUGAAUCAUGGGGGUGGAUUUCCUCCUUGCAGUUUUCAUAUAGUGAGUGAGUUCUCACAAGAUCUGGUUGUUUAAAAGUGUAUAGGACCUCCCUCUUCAUUCUCUUCCUCCUGCUCCAACCAUGUAAGAUGCACCUGCUUCCCCUUCACCUUCCACCAUGAUUGUAAGUUUCCUGAGACUCCGCAGCCAUGCUUCCUGUUCAGCCUGCAGAACCCACGUCUGUUCCUGCUGACUUCGAAUGAUUGUCAAGUGGCUGGACUCAGAUGUUAGCCGUCUGUCAUUGCUGCUAAUAACAUAUUCAUGUACAAAAACAACAGAGACAUUCAAAGCGUGCCUUCUCUGGAUGCUGAGAACACAGAGAUAAAAAAAAGAUGCCGUGCCUCCCCUACAAGAGCUCUCUGUCAAGUGGGGAAUCAGACUUGUUAACAAAUACCAGAGGAGAGACCACAAAGCCUUUUUGCCUUGAGAAGUCCAGGAAAGCCUCACAGAAGAGAACACAUUUAAAAAACAGCUCACCAGCAGAACCUUGAAGAAAAGCCAUUCUUCUAUGAGAAAGUGGCAUUUCAAAAGCCUGGGUGGAGAGAAACGAAAGUUCACAGCCAGGGGGUAUCUAGGCAGCUGGAGCCCUCUGUGUUCCGGACUACAGAUUCGGGGACCCAAAGAUGAGAAAACUCACGAUAGAAGGAAAUUGAAUCGUUUGCUCAAGAUUAAAUACUGGCCAAGUUCAGACCAAGCACCUUGUCAACAUGGGCAAAACUUCAAAAUUUUCUUCAGAGUCACGCACUGAGAAACAGUUUAUGGAUAAAGUAAGCUUUAUAAACAAUUCCCCAAAGACAUUGGACUGUGCCUUAAAGAGAAAAAUGAGGAUCAAUGAGGACGGAGACUCUGCACAGGACAUUGAUUACGCAUGCCUGAAGACUGUUAUUUGAAAUCCUUCUGAUGUGUCACUGUUAGGACGACAGUGAUCACUACAUGCUAAUAUUUGUUAAAUGCCAGGAAUUCCUUCAGACACUAUUAGAGAAGGGCAAGGAAGAUUCUCGAGGGCUAAUCAAGCUCUUAGAGAAUUCAGUUAGUAGUGACCAUUUGCAAUACUGCAAUUGCAAUACUGUGCUCUCCAGUGAGCUGACAAGGCCAGCCAAGGCAAAGUGGAGAGGAAGUGGUGCUUUGUGGCAGAGGACCUAGAAUCAGUACCUGGUGUCUCUACCUCCAUGGGCACACGGCCAGUCCUAGGCUAUCACGAAGAAGCAAUGGUACUCAAUGUUCCUUAAGAAACAACAUCCUUAAUGUGAGAAAAUAAAAAGCCAUUGGAAACCUCUACUUGCUCUGAGCAGGCCAUUUUCUAAAAGCAACUUUGGUAUAUAACUUUGUAUAAUUAGGUAUGUUUUGGGGGGUUGUCUUGCCAUUACUUCCUUCAGUCCAUUAAUAUGGAUAAAGCAUCUCUCACCACACCAUCAGCUUAAACUGUUGAAUCCUGCCUAAUAGCCUGAGCCAAGUUAAUGGAUGAAGUCCCUGGAGAAUUUUUCAGGUGAAGGAGAAGCAGGAGGCUGCUACCCAAGAGAAGACAGAGGUGUUAAAGCUGCUUUUUUGUUUUGUGUUUUUACCUCAAUGCAGUAUAAAAUCAACAUUUAAGAUACAGAUAAAAUUCUUUAUAUAAUUAGCUUAGACCGUAAUAUCCUUCUAAUUGUCACUUUUCUAUGAAACCGUCUUUAACCAUUUAUUUGCCUUUAUGGUACUUAAUCACGUUGGCCCACUCCUUACAAAUUUCAGUAAUGAUUCCAAAUCAGUACAGUAAGGAA